GACGAACGCUGGCGGCGUGCCUAAUACAUGCAAGUCGAACGCAGUGGGGACGGGUGAGUAACACGUGGGUAACCUCCCAUCAGAGGGGAUAACACUUGGAAACAGGUGCUAAACCGAUACUGAUGGAUGGACCCGCGGUGCAUUAGCUAGUUGGUGGGGUAACGGCUUACCAAGGCCACGAUGCGUAGCUGGUCUGAGAGGGUGAUCAGUCACACUGGAACUGAGACACGGUCCAGACUCCUACGGGAGGCAGCAGUGGGGAAUAUUGGGCAAUGGGCGAAAGCCUGAUCCAGCCAUGCCGCGUGAGUGAAGAAGGUCUUCGGAUUGUAAAGCACUGUUAGUAGGGAAGCGGUACCUACAGAAUAAGCACCGGCUAACUACGUGCCAGCAGCCGCGGUAAUUC
rnacentral:rRNA from 1 species